rnacentral:rRNA from 1 species
GAUGAACGCUGGCGGCGUGCCUAAUACAUGCAAGUCGAGCGAACAGACGAGGAGCUUGCUCCUCUGACGUUAGCGGCGGACGGGUGAGUAACACGUGGAUAACCUACCUAUAAGACUGGUAUCACUUCGGGAAACCGGAGCUAAUACCGGAUAAUAUAUUGAACCGCAUGGUUCAAUAGUGAAAGACGGUUUUGCUGUCACUUAUAGAUGGAUCCGCGCCGCAUUAGCUAGUUGGUAAGGUAACGGCUUACCAAGGCAACGAUGCGUAGCCGACCUGAGAGGGUGAUCGGCCACACUGGAACUGAGACACGGUCCAGACUCCUGCGGGAGGCAGCAGUAGGGAAUCUUCCGCAAUGGGCGAGAGCCUGACGGAGCAACGCCGCGUGAGUGAUGAAGGUCUUCGGAUCGUAAAGCUCUGUUAUUAGGGAAGAACAAAUGUGUAAGUAACUAUGCACGUCUUGACGGUACCUGAUCAGGAAGCCACGGCUAACUACGUG